GACGAACGCUGGCGGCGUGCUUAACACAUGCCAGUCGAACGGAAAGGCCCUGCUUUUGUGGGGUGCUCGAGUGGCGAACGGGUGAGUAACACGUGAGUAACCUGCCCUUGACUUUGGGAUAACUUCAGGAAACUGGGGCUAAUACCGGAUAGGAGCUCCUGCUGCAUGGUGUGGGUUGGAAAGUUUCGGCGGUUGGGGAUGGACUCGCGGCUUAUCAGCUUGUUGGUGGGGUAGUUGCUUACCAAGGCUUUGACGGGUAGCCGGCCUGAGAGGGUGACCGGCCACAUUGGGACUGAGAGACGGCCCAGACUCCUACGGGAGGCAGCAGUGGGGAAUAUUGCACAAUGGGCGGAAGCCUGAUGCAGCAACGCCGCGUGCGGGAUGACGGCCUUCGGGUUGUAAACCGCUUUCACCUGUGACGAAGCGUGCGUGACGGUAAUGGGUAAAGAAGCACCGGCUAACUACGUG
rnacentral:rRNA from 1 species